rnacentral:tRNA from 1 species
GCCUGCGUAGCAUAGUGGUAUUGCGUUCCCUUCGUAAGGAAGGUCGUGAGUUCGAUCCUCACCGGGGGCU